rnacentral:rRNA from 1 species
AUUGAACGCUGGCUGCAGGCCUAACACAUGCAAGUCGAGCGAGCGGCGGACGGGUGAGUAAUUUCUGGGAAACUGCCUGAUGGAGGGGGAUAACUACUGGAAACGGUAGCUAAUACCGCAUACCAUCAGAUGUGCCCAGAUGGGCUUAGCUAGUAGGUGGGGUAACGGCUCACCUAGGCGACGCUCCCUAGCUGGUCUGAGAGGAUGACCAGGCACACUGGAACUGAGACACGGUCCAGACUACUACGGGAGGCAGCAGUGGGGAAUAUUGAACAAUGGGCGCAAGCCUGAUGCAGACAUGCCGCGUGUGUGAAGAAGGCCUUCGGGUUGUAAAGCACUUUCAGCGGGGAGGCGUUACCCGCAGAAGAAGCACCGGCUAACUCCGUGCCAGCAGCCGCGGUAAUAC